CACGUACUCCCUCCGUUCGGAAUUAUUUGUCGCAGAAAUGGAUGUAUCUAGAUAUAUUUUAGUUCUAGAUACACCAUAUCUAAGCCAAAUAAUUCCAAACGAAGGAAGUAGCUG
rfam:Triticum urartu cultivar G1812 contig215906, whole genome shotgun sequence.